UUGUUGAGAGAGGGAGAAGAAGAAAGAAAGCAGGAGAAGGAGAAGGAGAAGGAGAAGGAGAAGGGAAGGAGAAGUAGGGCGGUGCAUGGAGGCUGCAUGUUGCUGAUCCCUACUGUUGCUGCUGCUGAUACUCCUGCUGUUGUUGCUGCUGUUCAUAUAAGGUUAUUCAUGAGCUGCUGUUCAAGAUUGUAGUUCAAGGAUUGGUGCAAGGUUGCUACCUAAAACUAAAAUUCUUUUCCUGCUGCUACUUGCUCUUGUUGUACCCUCGUACUGUUGCUGUUGUUUAAGGUGGUAAAUGCGGGUCCAUGCAAGAUUAGGAAAGGCUGGAGUUACUGGUUCUUGCUACUACUACUGCUGACCCUAUGUUGCUGAGCAAAGGAGUUGUUGUUCAACUUGGAGUAAGCAAGCUGAGGAGUACAAGAGGUUGUGCAAGCCAGAAUUUUUAUCGUUGAUGCUUCCCUGCUCCUAUGCACACAAGGAAGUUAAAAUUCUACCAUUUUAAUUGUUGUACAAUAGGUUAGUUAUUUUGUGAGAUGUAAUUUCAACCAAGCCACCCAGAAUUGGGAACCUUGGACUGCAUGCUUGAAAAUGGACUGAAAUCAAUUACAGGGACUGAAUUAGUCAAUGUUAGCCUGCUAUAAUUGUGUUAAUCGAGUAUAUUAUAGGUUGGUAGUGGUCCUUGUAGCUCCCUACAGUUAAUUUGAGAGUUAUAGGUGAGGAAUUGUUCACCUAAGACAGGAAAUUGGAUUAAAUUACUGAUAUUCAUGUAAC